ACCCAGACUCCUACGGGAGGCAGCAGUGGGGGAUAUUGCACAAUGGGGGGAACCCUGAUGCAGCGACGCCGCGUGGGUGAAGGAGCGUUUCGGCGCGUAAAGCCCUAUCGGCAGGGAAGAAGGAGGACGGUACCUGACUAAGAAGCCCCGGCUAACUACGUGCCAGCAGCCGCGGUAAUACGUAGGGGGCAAGCGUUAUCCGGAUUUACUGGGUGUAAAGGGGGCGCAGACGGCAGCGCAAGCCAGGAGUGAAAGCCCGCGGCCCAACCGCGGGACUGCAUUGGGAACUGGCGCGCUGGAGUGCCGGAGGGGUAGGCGGAAUUCCUGGUGUAGCGGUGAAAUGCGUAGAUAUCAGGAGGAACACCGGUGGCGAAGGCGGCCUGCUGGACUGCAACUGACGUUGAGGCCCGAAAGCGUGGGGAGCAAACAGGAUUAGAUACCCCCGUAGU
rnacentral:rRNA from 1 species